UGUCUGACCUGAGACCAGGAUGUCCCUCACAUGGAGAACCUGGUUAUAUUGGCAGACAUCCUUGAGACUUGCCUGACCUGUGUCCAGUUUAUGCAUACCUGACCAUGGCUUUAGCACUGGGAGCCUGGUCUUGUGUUUGUCCUGGCCUUCCUUGGAAAACCCAGUCUAGGGUAUUCCCUCAUUCUUCAGAGGGAAGGUGAAAAUUCAAUGCACCACCAGAAAAAGAAAGAUAGUCAAAGCUUUUUACUCACAGACCGUGGGCAAGGAAGUACAAUGAAAUGAGGGGGCAACACUCCAUCCCUGGGGUGUGCAAGGCAAGAAUGAAAGGUCAGGCAGAGAGAAUAUGGGUCACUUUAAGUUCAUGGGCAAAUGCCUGAAUGGUUUAUUUAAAGGAAGUGGUGAGAAAACAGGGGGCCCAGUCUGCUAGGCAGGAGAGAUGCCUCUAAGUUCUUAUCUCUAGCCACCAGCUUUAGCCAUUGGGUGCGGUGUUCUAUUUCUAAUGCCCAGGCAGCAGCCCUUGCUGUGUUGUUCCAUUCUAGGUUUCCUGAAGAUUUGUAACAAAAGGUGUCGGUGGGAGAAGGUGGAGCAGUUCCCAUUUAAUACCAGAAGUUGUGACAAGACUAUCCCCAAGUGGAAGGGAAGAUGGGAAAGUAAUCUUUCUUCAGCCCUUUAGUGGAAACAGGAAAGAGCCAGUGAGGUAAGAAAUAGAUGUUGGGUAGAUAAUUCCCAGAGUCUGCCAUGGUAUUUUUCCAGGGACAUGGUGGUACAGAAUGCCAUGCUCCCUACAGUUCACUGUGACUCUCUGAGUUCACAUAGCCUAUGAAACUGCCCAGAGAAUGAAGCACUGGCCUCACCAGUAGUGUUUUUAACAGCAGGUUGAGACUUUAACCGUGUGAUUUUGGAAAGGUUUCUUGUUUUUUUAACCUUGGCUUAAGAGAACCAUCUGACCCAGGGAAAUUCAAAGGAAACAUAGUAAAGCUGAUAUAAUUGAAGGGAAGGUGAAGGUAAAAUAACAGGUUACUUUUGAGUUUUGGUUUGCAUGAAACAUAAAAUCUAUUCCCAUGUACCCUUUUUUCUCUGCUAUGCAUUACUUUUCUGGCCUUACUUAAAAAUUUACUUAGAGGAUUGUUUAUAAAUAUGAAAUAACUGGCUUAGAGAAGUCUAGUUUAAUUUAUUAAAUGAGAACUGUGCUGUUUCUAAAUUAAGCCAUUAAUAAACUUAGUCUUCUUAAGUGUUUCAUAAAGUAAAACUGUAAUAGGCUUUCCAAUUAUACAAAGUAAUGAAACAUGAGAACAAAAUGGCAAAUAGAAAAAAAUAAUAAAAUAAAGGAAAAAUGUGGGACACAACUUAAUCUUGAGCC
rnacentral:lncRNA from 1 species